UUUUUUACUUUUAAGCCUCUCUAGGCCCAGGUCUUGGUGAUUUAAGAAUUAUGUAAGGAGUUCAUCAACAGAUAAAUGGAUAUACAAAUAAUGGUAUAUCUAUACAAUGGAGUAUUAUUCAGCCAUAAAAAGGAAUAAAGUUCUGAUAAAUACCACAACAUGGAUGAACCUUGAAGAUAUUGCACAAGUGAAAGAAGCCACUCACAAAAGACCACAUAGUGUGUGAUUCUACUUAUAUGAAAUGUCCAGAAUAGGUCAAUCUAUAGUGACAGAAAUUGUGUUAGUGGUAGUCUAGGGCUGGGGUGUGGUUGGGGGAAAUUGAGGGGUGAUUGUUAGUGGGUACAGGGUUUCUUCUGGGGAGAUGAAAUACUCUAAAAUUGAUUGCAAUGAUUAUUCCAUGACCCUGUGAAUAUACUAAAAACCAUUGAAUUUUUUAGUGGGUGACUUUAAUGGGUGACUUGUACAGUAUGUGAAUUAUAUCUCGAUAAAAGUGUUACUAAAAAAAGAGGUUAAAAGAAAUUUCAAGGCUAAUUCUAGCUAAAUUCAGUUUUUGCCUUAACAAUUGUCUUUAAGACCUAACCCCAGUAACACAUGACUCCAUCAGAUAAGCUCACUGGGAAAGACCUAACUACAGAUAUUACCUUAAAAAUUCUCCAUGACAACAAUUACAGCAUUUAAAAAUAUUGCAUCAUAAAUUGCCAGGGCUGAAAAAGCCUUCAAAGAUGAUCUAAACUAGUUGUUUUCAAACUUUUUUUUUUUUUAAAGAUGAGGAACUCCUGUUCGACAAAAAUCUUACAGAAGCUCGAAGGGAAAGCAAAUGAAAAUGGAGCUGUUCUGGUAAGGCAGGAGGGGUCGUCUUGGUGCCUCACUCCUCUGGUAGCCUCUAAGGAAAGGUCCAAGAAGCAAAGUUUGAAAGCAACAGAUCUAGGUACCCUCUUCCUGUGUCCGGAUGAGGAGGCCAGGGCUAGGAGUGCAGCGUGACCCAAGGUUACACAGGGAGAGCUUCUUGGUUCUGAUUCCCAGUAAGUUUUUCAUCCCGCAUAUAUGGCUGCUGUAUUCACCACCUGGGAAUGACUUCACAACCAUGUCCUAUGUUGGUAUGUGCAGGUGGCCUCAGGAGCUUGUUGUGUCUGUGCUUGAAGACAGGACAGUUGGCUCAGUCAGUUCCACUAAACCGCUAGCGGAUUCAUCAGAGGAAUAUGAAAGAGGGUGGAGACAUUGGUCAAUAUACCAUCGACAAUGAAUGGAUGGAAGGAAUCAAGAAAAAGAAGACGAGAUAAUAAAAUGUUGAUUUAAAAAUUAGAUCCA
rnacentral:lncRNA from 1 species